GUCUACGGCCAUGCCAUCCUGAAUAAACCCGAUCCCUUCUGAUCUCAGAAGCUAAGCAGAGUCGGGCCUAGUUAGUACUUGGAAGGGAGACCACCUAGGAAGACCAGGUGCUGU
rnacentral:rRNA from 1 species